CGGAGAGGGCGCAUGAGAGACGGCGUUCACGGCUAAGGCUGGCAGCAGGAGCGAAAACUUUUCGAAUAGACAAUGUCUGAAAAGGUGACUAUCAGUAUCAGCAACUGCUACAUAGUAGUUGUCUGAAAUGGGAGACUUAUAGAUCUGGUCUCGAGUAGCAAGUUCAGGGCAAGUCUGGUGCCAGCAGCCGCGGUAAUACCAGCUGAGCUAGAAAUGGGUAACAUUGUUGCAGUAAAAACGUACGUAGUCACCUUUACUUAUGUGAGACCAGUGAAAACUGGUCACACUAAGAAACUUUUGGUGAAGCAAUUUAUCAAUUAACUCCGCGAGUAAAUUAGACUGAUUAAAUUAAUUGUUGUAUAAGACAGCGUGGGAAAUCUGGAGAUGCCUGUUAGUCUUUAGCGCUUAUCUUAGACGCAGGGAUAUAUUGUAGAAUUGAAUGAGGGUGUUAGUAUUUAACGGUCAGAGGUGAAAUUCCUAGAUUCGUUAACGACUUACCACUGCGAAAGCAUUCGCCUAAUUCACUUUUGGUGAUCAAGUACUAAAGAGUGGGGAUCGAAGAGGAUUAGAUACCCUCGUAGUCCACUCCCUAAACUAUGUCGACUAGUGGUUGGCGUGUUGUUCAUGAACCUCGUCAGAACCUUGGCAGAUAUGUAAGUCUUUGGACUCUGGGGGAAGUACGGUCGCAAGGGCGAAACUUAAAGGAAUUGACGGAAUGGCACCACCAGGGGUGGAACGUGCGGCUUAAUUUGACUCAACGCGGGAAACCUUACUAGGGUAAGACAUUGGUAUGAUUGACAGACUGCUUGAUCUUUCUUGAUUUGAUGGGUGGUGGUGCAUGGCCGAUCUUAGUUAGUGGGGUGACCCGUCUGGUUAAUUUCGAUAACGAACGAGAUCCGAGCUGUUUAGUUGGGUUGCACCGGUGUCAUUGCGGUGUUAAUUCUCCUAUACGGACUGUCAGUUUCAGGCUGAAGGAAGUUUCGGGCCAAAUCAGGUCUGUGACGCCCUUAGACGCCCUAGGCGGCACGCGCGUUACAAUGGAGAGUAGAACGUGUAUUCUCUGCUGAAAUGUUGGGUGAAUCAUGAAUAUUACUCCGUGAGUGGGAUAGUCUAUUGCAACUUUCGGACUUGAACUAGGAAUCCCUUGUAGUCGUGCUCGAGAAUAGCACGUUGAAUACGUCCCUGCCAUUUGUACACACCGCCCGUCGUUUCUUCCGACUGAUACUCAUUGUGAAUUACAAGGAUACGAUAUAGCAGAAUUGUUGUUAACACUUUGUAUUGGAGGAAGAAAAAGUCGUAACAAGGUAACC
rnacentral:rRNA from 1 species